rnacentral:tRNA from 1 species
UGUAGCUCAAGGGUAGAGUGUUUGCCUACCAUGCAUAAGGCUCUGGGUUUGAUUCCCAUCA